rnacentral:tRNA from 1 species
GCGGGCGAGGUGUCAACGGUUGCACGGGAGCCUUCCAAGCUCUAGGAACGGGUUCGACCCCCGUCGCCCGCU